CCUGCUGAAGAUAAAGCUGUCUGAGACUCUUGUUUUUCAUCAUACAGCGAGCAACGCUGUAACACAAGCAGCAGACAACGCCUGACGAGAGCCAGUUUGCAUUCUUCUCACUGCCAACCAGCUCUGUGUACAUUAGAAAUGAGGAAUCAUCUGAUUGAGUGGCCAGAGAGCAACGCACUCCCAUCCUCGC